rnacentral:rRNA from 1 species
GAUGAACGCUGGCGGCGUGCUUAACACAUGCAAGUCGAGCGAACAGACGAGGAGCUUGCUCCUCUGACGUUAGCGGAGGACGGGUGAGUAACAUGUGGAUCAUCUCCCUAUAAGACUGGGAUAACUUCGGGAAACCGGAGCUAAUACCGUAGAAUCUAUUGCACCGUGUGGGGGAAUAGUAAAAUUCGGCUUUGCGGUCACGUAUCGAUGGAUAUGGGCCGGUUUGGAUGGUUGGGAAGGAAAAGGGUUACUAAGGGGACGAGGCGUGGCCGACUGGCGAGGGUGAUAGCCGACAUGAGAAGUGGAACGGGGUCCAGAGUCCUACGGGACGGAGCAGUAUGGAAUCUUCCGCAAUGGGCGGAAGCCUUACAGAGCAACGCCGCGUGAGUGAUGAAAGUCCUCGGAUCGUAAAACUCUGUUAUUGGGGAAGAACAAAUGUGUAAGUAAAUGUACACGUCUUGACGGUACCUGAUCAAGAAGCCACGGCUAACUACGUG